rnacentral:rRNA from 1 species
AGAGUUUGAUCAUGGCUCAGAGCGAACGCUGGCGGCAGGCUUAACACAUGCAAGUCGAGCGGGCGUAGCAAUACGUCAGCGGCAGACGGGUGAGUAACGCGUGGGAACGUACCUUUUGGUUCGGAAUAGCUCAGGGAAACUUGAAUUAAUACCGGAUAAGCCCUUACGGGGAAAGAUUUAUCGCCGAAAGAUCGGCCCGCGUCUGAUUAGCUAGUUGGUGAGGUAACGGCUCACCAAGGCGACGAUCAGUAGCUGGUCUGAGAGGAUGAUCAGCCACAUUGGGACUGAGACACGGCCCAAACUCCUACGGGAGGCAGCAGUGGGGAAUAUUGGACAAUGGGCGCAAGCCUGAUCCAGCCAUGCCGCGUGAGUGAUGAAGGCCCUAGGGUUGUAAAGCUCUUUUGUGCGGGAAGAUAAUGACGGUACCGCAAGAAUAAGCCCCGGCUAACUUCGUGCCAGCAGCCGCGGUAAUACGAAGGGGGCUAGCGUUGCUCGGAAUCACUGGGCGUAAAGGGUGCGUAGGCGGGUCUUUAAGUCAGGGGUGAAAUCCUGGAGCUCAACUCCAGAACUGCCUUUGAUACUGAGGAUCUUGAGUUCGGGAGAGGUGAGUGGAACUGCGAGUGUAGAGGUGAAAUUCGUAGAUAUUCGCAAGAACACCAGUGGCGAAGGCGGCUCACUGGCCCGAUACUGACGCUGAGGCACGAAAGCGUGGGGAGCAAACAGGAUUAGAUACCCUAGUAGUCC